rnacentral:tRNA from 1 species
GUCAUUGUAGUAUAGUGGUAAGUAUUCCUGCCUGUCACGCGGGUGACCCGGGUUCGAUCCCCUUCUUUGUA